CUGGCUCAGGAUGAACGCUAGCUACAGGCUUAACACAUGCAAGUCGAGGGGCAGCGAUGAAGAAAGCUUGCUUUCUUCAGGCGGCGACCGGCGCACGGGUGAGUAACGCGUAUCGAACCUGCCUCAUACUCGGGAAUAGCCUUGCGAAAGUAAGAUUAAUGCCCGAUGUUAUUAGGAUAUCACAUGAUGUUUUAAUUAAAGAUUUAUCGGUAUGAGAUGGCGAUGCGUCCCAUUAGUUUGUUGGCGGGGUAACGGCCCACCAAGACAUCGAUGGGUAGGGGUUCUGAGAGGAAGGUCCCCCACAUUGGAACUGAGACACGGUCCAAACUCCUACGGGAGGCAGCAGUGAGGAAUAUUGGUCAAUGGACGCAAGUCUGAACCAGCCAAGUAGCGUGCAGGAUGACGGCCCUCUGGGUUGUAAACUGCUUUUAGUUGGGAAUAAAGUGCAUCACGUGUGGUGUUUUGUAUGUACCAUCAGAAAAAGGACCGGCUAAUUCCGUGCCAGCAGCCGCGGUAAUACGGAAGGUUCAGGCGUUAUCCGGAUUUAUUGGGUUUAAAGGGAGCGCAGGCGGACCUUUAAGUCAGCUGUGAAAUACGGCGGCUCAACCGUCGAACUGCAGUUGAUACUGGAGGUCUUGAGUGCACACAGGGAUACUGGAAUUCAUGGUGUAGCGGUGAAAUGCUCAGAUAUCAUGAAGAACUCCGAUCGCGAAGGCAGGUAUCCGGGGUGCAACUGACGCUGAGGCUCGAAAGUGCGGGUAUCAAACAGGAUUAGAUACCCUGGUAGUCCGCACAGUAAACGAUGAAUACUCGCGAUUUGCGAUACACAGUAAGUCGCCAAGCGAAAGCGUUAAGUAUUCCACCUGGGGAGUACGCCGGCAACGGUGAAACUCAAAGGAAUUGACGGGGGCCCG
rnacentral:rRNA from 1 species